rnacentral:rRNA from 1 species
UGGGGAAUUUUGGACAAUGGGCGAAAGCCUGAUCCAGCCAUGCCGCGUGAGUGAAGAAGGCCUUCGGGUUGUAAAGCUCUUUUAAGUCGGAAAGAAAGAGUCGCAAUGAAUAAUUGUGAUUUAUGACGGUACCGACAGAAAAAGCACCGGCUAACUACGUGCCAGCAGCCGCGGUAAUACGUAGGGUGCGAGCGUUAAUCGGAAUUACUGGGCGUAAAGGGUGCGCAGGCGGUUUUGCAAGUCAGAUGUGAAAGCCCCGGGCUUAACCUGGGAAUUGCGUUUGAAACCUACAAGGCUAGAGUGCAGCAGAGGGGGAUGGAAUUCCAGUGUGUAGCAGUGAAAUGCGUAGAGAUGUGGAAGAACACCGGAUGGCGAAGGCAGCUCCCGUGGGUUUAGACACUG